UUCAACAUGGAACGAGUGGCGGACGGGUGAGUAACACGUGGGUAACCUGCCCUUAAGUGGGGGAUAACAUUUGGAAACAGAUGCUAAUACCGCAUAGAUCCAAGAACCGCAUGGUUCUUGGCUGAAAGAUGGCGUAAGCUAUCGCUUUUGGAUGGACCCGCGGCGUAUUAGCUAGUUGGUGAGGUAAUGGCUCACCAAGGCGAUGAUACGUAGCCGAACUGAGAGGUUGAUCGGCCACAUUGGGACUGAGACACGGCCCAAACUCCUACGGGAGGCAGCAGUAGGGAAUCUUCCACAAUGGACGCAAGUCUGAUGGAGCAACGCCGCGUGAGUGAAGAAGGCUUUCGGGUCGUAAAACUCUGUUGUUGGAGAAGAAUGGUCGGCAGAGUAACUGUUGUCGGCGUGACGGUAUCCAACCAGAAAGCCACGGCUAACUACGUGCCAGCAGCCGCGGUAAUACGUAGGUGGCAAGCGUUAUCCGGAUUUAUUGGGCGUAAAGCGAGCGCAGGCGGUUUUUUAAGUCUGAUGUGAAAGCCCUCGGCUUAACCGAGGAAGCGCAUCGGAAACUGGGAAACUUGAGUGCAGAAGAGGACAGUGGAACUCCAUGUGUAGCGGUGAAAUGCGUAGAUAUAUGGAAGAACACCAGUGGCGAAGGCGGCUGUCUGGUCUGUAACUGACGCUGAGGCUCGAAAGCAU
rnacentral:rRNA from 2 species